AUUGAACGCUGGCGGAAUGCUUUACACAUGCAAGUCGAACGGCAGCACGGACUUCGGUCUGGUGGCGAGUGGCGAACGGGUGAGUAAUGUAUCGGAACGUGCCCAGUCGUGGGGGAUAACGUAGUGAAAAUUACGCUAAUACCGCAUACGAUCUAUGGAUGAAAGAGGGGGAUCGCAAGACCUCGCGCGGUUGGAGCGGCCGAUAUCAGAUUAGGGAGUUGGUGGGGGAAAGGCCCAGCAAGCCAACGAUCUGGAGCUGGUCUGAGAGGACGACCAGCCACACUGGAACUGAGACACGGUCCAGACUCCUACGGGAGGCAGCAGUGGGGAAUUUGGGACAAUGGGCGAAAGCCUGAUCCAGACAUGCCGCGUGCAGGAUGAAGGCCCUCGGGUUGUAAACUGCUUUUGUACAGAACGAAAAGGUUUCUACUAAUACUAGGAGCUCAUGACGGUACUGUAAGAAUAAGCACCGGCUAACUAUGUGCCAGCCGCCGCGGUAA
rnacentral:rRNA from 1 species